rnacentral:tRNA from 1 species
AAGGAAGUGGCAGAGUGGUUAUGUAACUGACUUGAAACCAGUUUAUAGGGGUUCAAUUCCUCUCUUCCUCG